CCUACGGGCGGCAGCAGUGAGGAAUAUUGGUCAAUGGACGAGAGUCUGAACCAGCCAAGUAGCGUGAAGGAUGACUGCCCUAUGGGUUGUAAACUUCUUUUAUAUGGGAAUAAAACGUUCCACGUGUGGGAUUUUGUAUGUACCAUAUGAAUAAGGAUCGGCUAACUCCGUGCCAGCAGCCGCGGUAAUACGGAGGAUCCGAGCGUUAUCCGGAUUUAUUGGGGUUAAAGGGAGCGUAGGUGGUUUGUUAAGUCAGUUGUGAAAGUUUGCGGCUCAACCGUAACAUUGCAGUUGAAACUGGCAGUCUUGAGUACAGUAGAGGUAGGCGGAAUUCGUGGUGUAGCGGUGAAAUGCUUAGAUAUCACGAAGAACUCCGAUUGCGAAGGCAGUUCACUGGACUGCAACUGACACUGAGGCUCGAAGGUGUGGGUAUCAAACAGGAUUAGAUACCCUUGUAGUC
rnacentral:rRNA from 1 species